AAGGAUAGUCUUUUCUAGGGGGAUGGGGGGAACAUAUAUUCACAUACAUUUAAAUUUUUGUUUAUGAGUGGAGAGUGGUCAAUGAACCUCAGGUAAAGAUGUUCUG
rnacentral:miRNA from 1 species